rnacentral:rRNA from 1 species
GACGAACGCUGGCGGCGUGCUUAACACAUGCAAGUCGAACGAAAAUACCAAGCUUGCUUGGUUGAUUCGUGGCGAACGGGUGAGUAACACGUGAGUAACCUGCCCCUUACUUUCCUGGAUAACUGCUCGAAAGGGUAGCUAAUACGGGAUAUUCUGACCAGCCUGCAUGGGGUGGUUGGGAAAGGUUGUUUUUCUGGUAAGGGAUGGGCGCGCGGCCUAUCAGCUUGUUGGUGGGGUGAUGGCCUACCAAGGCUUUGACGGGUAGCCGGCCUGGGGGGGUGGGCGGUGACACGGGGACUGAGCUACGGCCCAGACUCCUACGGGAGGCAGCAGUUGGGGAUAUUGCACAGUGGGCGCAAGCCUGAUGCAGCGACGCCGCGUGAGGGAUGACGGCCUUCGGGUUGUAAGCCUCUUUCGUCAGGGAACAAGGCACUGCUUUUUUGGUGGUGUUGAGGGUACCUGGAUAAGAAGCGCCGGCUAACUACGUG